rnacentral:lncRNA from 1 species
CUCAUUUCUGGAUAGUUGGACUGCCCUUAGAGUUUGGGGAAUUGGAGUUUUCUUUGGACCUGACCAGACCAUGAUUAAAUAAUAAACAAAAUUUCUGAAAUACAUACACCCCAGGAAAAUGGGUGUUAUUUUUAAUAAAUAUCUCAUUUGUGCUUAAAAUUGAAUUUAUGCUUAAAAUUGAGUUUAGUAAAAGUAUACCUACUAUGAUCUGUAAGGGCCAAGAAUGAAGUGAGCUCCAUCAGUGAGAUGGUCACGCCGCACGGCAGAGAUGGGACUCCCCUGCCACUGUAACGGGCACCUUUUGUUAGCAUUCCUGAAAGAGUUAUUACUUCUGAUUGUGACCCUGAUGGUAACACCUGGGCCUAAAGCCCUGCCCCACCUCAGUGAUGUUGUUUCUCAAUGUUUUAGACUCACUCUUAUAUUUUCAUUAUUUUUUUCAAUUUAUUGUUUCUCAUCUCUCUCCCUCCCUCCCUCCCUCCUUUCUGUAUGCCAGUGCUUUGCCUGUAUGAUGAAUAUCUGCGUACCACAUGCAUGCUUGGUAUCCUCAGAGGCCAGAGGAAGGCAUGGGAUCCCCUGAUACUAGAGUUAGAGAUGAUUGUGAGGGAGUUGUCAUGUGAGUGCUAAGAAUUGAACCUGGGUCCUCUGCAAGAGCAGACAAUGCUCUUAAUGUUUGAAAAUAUCUCUUCAGCCCCUCUUGUAGUUCUAGUAUGUGCUUUGUAUAGAAUAUUUCAUCUGGCUUCCUUUUCCUAAUAAUGUAAUUAUCAUCUCUUGCUGGAGUCAGCUAGUACUAUUUAACACACAUUGAUUCUUCUUGUUCCAGGUUCUGCCCAUUUGGUCUCCUAUAUUAAGCCAAAGCUGUGAGGGGUGGGUCUGAGGCUCCUGCAGUGCUGGUCAUGUUGAGGGCAGAUGCACAGCCUCAGAAUUGCUGCUAGCUCAGAAAUCAAGGAGAAUUUGUGUUCCUGACAUUUAGGCCUUCUGCACUUUUAUGCUUGUUUGGGGCCUUUCUUCAGACUCAGUUCCAGUGACAGCCUAAGAGAAGAAACUUACUAGUUAUCUAGUGAUCUCAGGCUUCAGCACUAGUCUUUCUUCCUUCCUUCCUUCCCUCCUUCCCGCCCCCCCCCCACCCCCCCAGCUGAGGACCGAACCCAGGGCCUUGCAAGUACUGUACCACUGAGCUAAAUCCCUAACCCCGAGACUUGCUUCUCAAAUAGUAACAGGAAGGGCAAAAGUCAGUGAUGUGGACAAAAGAGUGAGUGAGCGAAGAAGUUGCAGUGUUCCUCGUUUUGUAGAGAUUUGAGGGUGGGAUGUGUGUGCCUGUGCAUGCUGGGAAAUAAACUCAGGCAUGUUAGGCAACUGCUGUACCACUGAGUUACUACACAACCCUUUAAAAACAUUAGGGAGUUUUUGCCGGAAGCAGAGGCAGAUGGAGUUCUGUGACUUCAAGGCCAGCAUGGUCUAUAUACUAUUAAGUUGUUUCAGGUCAGCCAAGGAUACAGUCUC